UUAUUCACAUUUUGACUCAUAUCUCCCUCUUCGCUUUCACUGAUCCUUUCGCUGCUGUUGCUUGCGAUCCGUCUCAGAGGUCACAACGCGCUGACUAAUUUUCUGACUCCUUCGCCGGUUAUCGGAUGCGAUUCGGGGAGCCAGAGCCUCUGUUCUCCGACGUAUGUUCUUCGAUUCAACGGAACCGAUCGAUCUUGCGGCGGAGGUGAAGCCGAACGUGGCAGAGAGUUUGUUCCUCCGGAGCCGUUGUUUAUGGAUGAGAUCGAAAUCCAUAAACCGUUUCCGAACCGGCAAGCAUUGAACCUGCGUUUACAAGCUUUGGUGGGCCUCCGUAGGAUACUAAGGGUGUUGAAGCGUGACACACAUUGCACGAUAUGAAAAAUCCAUUUGUGGCAGAAAACUAGAAGAAGGAAACACAGACUUUUUCAGGCUUAUUACGUAAGGUUGAAGCUGCUGAAGCAAAUAUAGUUUGUUUUAAUCAUUUGCUUGAUCACCAGUACCAUCUCAUGAACUAUCCUCCAAAGAUUCCUCUCGCACCUAUGCCAAACGGAAUACAUCAUCCCAUGCCACCUGUUGGUAUGCAAAUUGGAUAUCCAGUACUACAACAUCCUCAAAUGCAUGUUCAAGGCCACCAUCCCCAUAUUGCUGCUGCAACGGCUAUGUCAAGCUGCCAUGUUGUUGUUAACGGAGUCCCUGCACCUCCCCAUCUCCAGCCAUUCAUUGAGGAUGAACUCAACCAAUGAGUAAGAACCAACAACUAGAUCAUUUAUACAGUUGAUGUCUUUACUUUAAAAAACAAUCUCUCUUUGUUAAUCUUUGUAUGGUGGCAACUGUGGAAGAUGCAACUCCUCCUCAUGUGGUUCCACCAAGCAGUGGCGAGAUGGCAGUGAGUCCUGCUUCUGUGGCAUCAAGUGGACACUUUCCAUUUGUUGAUUCAGAGUUCAGACAUACAUGGUAAUGGACGUUUCAGUGCUUGAUUCUGAGUUCACGGCUGAUGGAGGAGCUGGGAGUUCUAGAAAUGCGUCAUUUCAUCCGAUUCCAUGGAAUUUUAGCCUUUCUGAUCUCAAUUGUAUAUCCUUUUUUUUUUUACAUUUAAAGGAAAGAUUUUCACAUGUGGUGUU